GACGAACGCUGGCGGCGUGCUUAACACAUGCAAGUCGAGCGGUAAGGCUCCUUCGGGAGUACACGAGCGGCGAACGGGUGAGUAACACGUGAGUAAUCUGCCCCUCACUUCGGGAUAAGCCUCGGAAACGAGGUCUAAUACCGGAUACGACCAUUUCUCGCAUGAGAUGGUGGGGGAAAGUUUUUCGGUGGGGGAUGUGCUCGCGGCCUAUCAGCUUGUUGGUGGGGUAAUGGCCUACCAAGGCUUCGACGGGUAGCCGGCCUGAGAGGGUGACCGGCCACACUGGGACUGAGACACGGCCCAGACUCCUACGGGAGGCAGCAGUGGGGAAUAUUGGACAAUGGGCGAAAGCCUGAUCCAGCAACGCCGCGUGAGGGAUGACGGCCUUCGGGUUGUAAACCUCUUUCAGCGGGGACGAAGCGCAAGUGACGGUACCCGCAGAAGAAGCACCGGCCAACUACGUGCCAGCCGCCGCCGUAAGAC
rnacentral:rRNA from 1 species